GGGGAUUUAGCUCAGUUGGUAGAGCAUCAGAUUUGCAUUCUGAGGGUCAGGAGUUCGAUUCUCCUAGUCUCCA
rnacentral:tRNA from 1 species